rnacentral:rRNA from 1 species
UACGCAGGCGGCAUGUUAAGUCAACCGUUAAAUCUUUCGGCCUAACCGGAAGCUCGCGGUAGAUACUGGCGUGCUAGAGGAUGAGAGAGAGAAGUGGAAUUCUCGGAGUAGCGGUAAAAUGCGUGGAUCUCGAGAGGAACACCAAUGGCGAAGGCAGCUUCUUGGCUCAUUCCUGACGCUCAGGUACGAAAGCGUGGGGAGCGAACAGGAUUAGAUACCCUGGUAGUCC